UUUGGGAUUCGGCUAGCAAUUUUUUGAUGAAAAUCACGAUAAAAACCUACAAUUCGUAACAGCGAGUCAACUGUGCUUGCUUUCCAGUCAUCGGCUCCUGCGAGGAAAGCUAUUAACUAUAAACUAUGUACGAAAGAACUCUUUGAACGUUUUUAAACAUCGUGUCUAAUGUACAUGUGCACGAUGUGGACGACGUGGUCUCUUUUCAAGGUUAAAAGACUCAUGGUGAAAGACUCAGGUGAAAAGACUCAGGUGAAAAGAUUCAGGUGAAAAGACUCAGGUGAAAAGACAAAAGUAUCAUGAGAGAGCUGAUGGGCAUAUAUCAUAUAUGAACGAGAACAGUAUUGUAUACAAAGCACUGUUUACCUUCUUUAUUUUUUUGGUUUUCAGAAUUGGAGCCACCUCAAAUAGUAGUAGAUUUUUAGCACAUUUUGAUGCAUUGAUGUAUUGUGUAAUAAUGCAAAAAACAAUCAUUAAACAGUAUAACCAUUUUUGGCUAAAUACA